AUGCUACUCCCUCCGUCCGAAAAUACUUGUCAUCAAAAUGGACAAAAAGGGAUGUAUCUAGAACUAAAAUACAUCUAGAUACAUCCCCUUUUAUUUAUUUUUAUGACAAGUAUUUUCGGACGGAGGGAGUAGGUG
rnacentral:pre_miRNA from 1 species